CUAACUUGACUUUCUAGCAUAGAGCAAAAUGAACGGUGUGCGCAACAGUAGAACCACGAGGGCGUAUCCGAAGACGUGAACACACUCGUGUCUCUGAGAUCUAAGAAUAGCAAUCAGCGGUGGUACGCGCAACCAGCUGUUUGGUCACGUUGCCCACAUUCCGCCUGUAAAUAUUCCCUCCCUCUCCCUCUCUCUCUCUGCCUCUCUCUCUCGUUCGAAAACAUAUCAAGUGAGAAAAGAAAUUAACUCUUAAACGAAUGAAAAUAAUUAAAAUUCUGCAAUUGUAUGGAAUACAAUUGCUACGUAUAGCUACUCUUCACAGAAAUCGGUUACAGAUAAGAAAAAAGAUGGAAACAAAUAAUUUUUCUAGGACAAAUAAAUCAAGUGAAUCGAAGCCAUCAAUGCAUCAGGAUUAAUUAUAUUUACCGCCUCCUAAAAUGCUACAGUUGUCCAGCCAUCAUCGAUGAUUCUUUACAAUCUUUGCGCUCUUCUUCCUACUGUAAAGCAUUUUUCUAUUUGUAAGACUACCUUGUGAUCGCAUUCGUUUACUUAGAUAUUUCACUUGAAUUCUCAAUCGAUAUGUUUCCUCGUAUAGCUCGUCGAUGUUGGUAUACAAAUUUUUUUAAUCGAAUUAUAUUAUUACGUGUCGUAGCGGAUCGAUAUUACGUUUUUGCGAAAUAGUAUGAAAAAAGGAAAAAGAGCAAUGACAACGAAUUGUUGUAAACGUAGAAAUAAGUCGAGUCGAGUGUGCGGCAACGGACCAAACCAAUAACAAAAUAAAUAAGUGAAACGGUCGA